rnacentral:tRNA from 1 species
GGGCAAUUAGCUCAGUUGUUAGAGCGUUCGCUUUGCAUGCGAAAGGUCGUGAUUUCGAUUAUCACAUUGUCCA